rnacentral:rRNA from 1 species
GACGAACGCUGGCGGCGUGCUUAACACAUGCAAGUCGAACGGAAAGGCCCUGCUUUUGUGGGGUGCUCGAGUGGCGAACGGGUGAGUAACACGUGAGUAACCUGCCCUUGACUUUGGGAUAACUUCAGGAAACUGGGGCUAAUACCGGAUAGGAGCUCCUGCUGCAUGGUGGGGGUUGGAAAGUUUCGGCGGUUGGGGAUGGACUCUCGGCUUAUCAGCUUGUUGGUGGGGUAGUGGCUUACCAAGGCUUUGACGGGUAGCCGGCCUGAGAGGGUGACCGGCCACAUUGGGACUGAGAUACGGCCCAGACUCCUACGGGAGGCAGCAGUGGGGAAUAUUGCACAAUGGGCGGAAGCCUGAUGCAGCAACGCCGCGUGCGGGUUGACGGCCUUCGGGUUGUAAACCGCUUUCGCCUGUGACGAAGCGUGAGUGACGGUAAUGGGUAAAGAAGCACCGGCUAACUACGUG